rnacentral:rRNA from 1 species
UACAGAGGGUGCGAGCGUUGUCCGGAAUCACUGGGCGUAAAGGGCGCGUAGGCGGCUCGGUCAGCGUGCGGUGAAAGCCCGGGGCCUCAACCCCGGGUCGGCCGUGCGAACUGCUGGGCUGGAGCACUGUAGAGGCAGGGUGGAAUUCCGGGUGUAGCGGUGGAAUGCGUAGAGAUCCGGAAGAACACCGGUGGCGAAGGCGGCCUGCUGGGCAGUAGCUGACGCUGAUGGCGCGACAGCGUGGGGAGCAAACAGG